rnacentral:rRNA from 1 species
UACGGAGGGGGCGAGCGUUGCUCGGAAUUAUUGGGCGUAAAGCGCACGUAGGCGGCAUUGCAAGUCGGAUGUGAAAUCCCUCGGCUUAACCAAGGAAGUGCAUCCGAAACUGCAGUGCUUGAGUACUUAAGAGGAUCGCGGAAUUCCCGGUGUAGAGGUGAAAUUCGUAGAUAUCGGGAGGAACACCAGUGGCGAAGGCGGCGAUCUGGGAAGAUACUGACGCUGAGGUGCGAAAGCGUGGGGAGCAAACAGG